UACGGAGGGUGCGAGCGUUGUCCGGAAUCAUUGGGCGUAAAGGGCGCGUAGGCGGCUUCUCAAGCGUACGGUGAAAGUCAGGGGCUCAACCCCUGAUCGGCCGUGCGAACUGGGGGGCUGGAGCACUGUAGAGGCAGGCGGAAUUCCGGGUGUAGCGGUGGAAUGCGUAGAGAUCCGGAAGAACACCGGUGGCGAAGGCGGCCUGCUGGGCAGUGGCUGACGCUGAGGCGCGACAGCGUGGGGAGCAAACAGG
rnacentral:rRNA from 1 species